rnacentral:rRNA from 1 species
CCCUUAGAUGUUCUGGGCCGCACGCGUGCUACACUGAGUGGAUCAGCGGUCAGGUUGCGCGAAAGUGUUUCCUAAUCUUGAAAUCCGCUCGUGAUGGGGAUUGACGGUUGCAAUUUUCCGUCAUGAACGAGGAAUACCUUGUAAGCGCGGGUCAUCAUCCCGCGCUGAAUACGUCCCUGCCCUUUGUACACACCGCCCGUCGCUCCUACCGAUUGAGUGGUCCGGUGAGGCUUUGGGAUCUGAGCGGAAAGAGCGUUUCGCUGUUUCUGCUCGGAAAACUCAGUCGAACCUUAUCAUUUAGAGGAAGGAGAAGUCGUAACA